rnacentral:rRNA from 1 species
UACAGAGGGUGCAAGCGUUAAUCGGAAUUACUGGGCAUAAAGCGCGUGUAGGUGGUUUGCUAAGUCAGGUGUGAAAUCCUCGGGCUCAACCCGAGAACUGCAUUUGAUACUGGCAGGCUAGAGUGUGGUAGAGGAUAGUGGAAUUCCCGGUGUAGCGGUGAAAUGCGUAGAUAUCGGGAGGAACAUCAGUGGCGAAGGCGGCUAUCUGGACUAACACUGACACUGAGACUCGAAAGCGUGGGGAGCAAACAGG